AUGGCCUGGUUUGGGGGGAGCGACUACAAUAGAAGAAGGGCCACAGUGUGGGAUCUGUAUCCACUGUUAUCUAACUUUUGCAAAAAGGUCCCGGCAAUUCUGAUUGAUUUUUGCAGACGGGUCACCCCUCUCCCCCAUCCCUUAUCUCUUGCACACUGUGGCGGCGAUCUAGAUCCGGCGGGACGCCGUCGACUUUCGCAGUCCGUUCCCGGUACUCCGGCUCGCAAGUCGUCUGGAUCCGCCUCCCGGGCACCCUCGACGUUGCUCUCCACAUCAACCCAGCAGCCGCUGCCAAGGUCCACUCCCCCAGGGCACCACCUCGCCUUCAUCGCGCCGGACUACGACGGAUUUGUAGCCGGCCGGAAGACCCAUAGCACAGACGUGCCCGAGUGGAUGCAGCCUGACGGCCACACGUGCCAGGUCUUCUUCCUCGACCCUGACGUGUUGGCCUACUCGGCUCUCCUGCUUUCGUUUGGCACUAUAUCCGAUACCUUCUCAGCUUGCCCAGUCCAGGGGUUACUCUAG
rnacentral:rRNA from 1 species